UGCCGAGGUGGUGGAAUUGCUAUACACGAAGGACUUAAAAUCCUUUGAGCGUAAGCUCUUGCGGGUUGGAGUCCCGCCCUCGGCAU
rnacentral:tRNA from 1 species